rnacentral:rRNA from 1 species
UACGUAGGGAGCAAGCGUUGUCCGGAUUUAUUGGGCGUAAAGAGCUCGUAGGCGGCUUAGAAGGUCAGGUGUGAAACCUCCAGGCUUAACCUGGAGACGCCACUUGAUACUUCUAUGGCUUGAGUUCGGUAGGGGACCAUGGAAUUCCUGGUGUAGCGGUGAAAUGACGCAGAUAUCAGGAGGAACACCGGUGGCGAAGGCGGGUCUCUGGGCCGAUACUGACGCUGAGGAGCGAAAGCGUGGGGAGCGAACAGG